rnacentral:rRNA from 1 species
UACGUAGGGGGCAAGCGUUGUCCGGAAUCAUUGGGCGUAAAGAGCGCGUAGGCGGCCCUGUAAGUCCGCUGUGAAAGUCGGGGGCUCAACCCUCGAAUGCCGGUGGAUACUGUCGGGCUAGAGUGCGGAAGAGGCGAGUGGAAUUCCUGGUGUAGCGGUGAAAUGCGCAGAUAUCAGGAGGAACACCGAUUGCGAAGGCAGCUCGCUGGGACGUAACUGACGCUGAGACGCGAAAGCGUGGGGAGCAAACAGG